GACGAAGGAUGCAAGCGUUAUCCGGAUUCACUGGGUUUAAAGGGUGCGUAGGUGGGCAGGUAAGUCAGUGGUGAAAUCUCUGGGCUUAACCCAGAAACUGCCGUUGAUACUAUCUGUCUUGAAUAUAGUGGAGGUGAGCGGAAUAUGUCAUGUAGCGGUGAAAUGCUUAGAUAUGACAUAGAACACCCAUUGCGAAGGCAGCUCGCUACACUAUCAUUGACACUGAGGCACGAAAGCGUGGGGAUCAAACAGG
rnacentral:rRNA from 1 species